ACUAAAUAGAUACCCGGGUAGUCCACGCCGUAAACGAUGAUUACUCGCUGUUGGCGAUACACUGUCAGCGGCUAAAGCAAAAAAAGCAAUAAGUAAUCCACCUGGGGAGUACGGCCGCAAGGUUGAAACUCAAAGGAAUUGACGGGGGCCCGCACAAGCGGAGGAACAUGUGGUUUAAUUCGAUGAUACGCGAGGAACCUUACCUGGGCUUAAAUGUAGAGUGCAUUUUCUAGAGAUAGGAAUUCCCUUCGGGGUCUUUCUGCAAGGUGCUGCAUGGUUGUCGUCAGCUCGUGCCGUGAGGUGUCGGGUUAAGUCCCAUAACGAGCGCAACCCUU
rnacentral:rRNA from 1 species